CAAAAACAUCGCUCCUUGACACCCCUUUUAUAUAAGGAGUCUGACCUGCCCAGUGACAUUUUGUUUAACGGCUGCAGUUUACACUGCAUUAAAGUAGCAUAAUAAUUUGCCUCUUAAUUGGGGGCUAGAAUGAAUGGUCUGACGAGAGCUAAGCUGUCUCCUCAAAAAUAUUUAAAAAUUAACUUUUAGGUGAAGAGGCCUAACUAUUGUUGAGGGACGAAAAGACCCUAUUGAGCUUGAGUACCAAGGUAGACUUAUAGUGUUUGAAUAGAUAUUUUUCACAAUAUCUCAUUUCAAAACCUACCUCAAAUCUUUAACUGGGACGGUUAAGGAGCAAUUAAAACCUCCUUCUACAAUUAUAUUUCGGCUCACAUGCCUAGAUCCAGUAUUACUGAUCAAUGGAAAAAGUUACCAUAGGGAUAACAGCGUAAUCUCCUCAAAGAGUUCUUAUCGAAGAGGGGGUUUGCGACCUCGAUGUUGGACUAAGGUAUCCUGAGGGUGUAGAAGCUCUCUACGGUUGGUCUGUUCGACCAUUAAAACCUUACGUGAUCUGA
rnacentral:rRNA from 1 species